rnacentral:rRNA from 1 species
CUUGACCUCAAAUCACGUAGGACUACCCGCUGAA